rnacentral:rRNA from 1 species
GAGCACGUAGGUGGGUUUGUAAGUCAGAUGUGAAAGCCUUCUGUUCAACGGAAGAAUUGCAUCUGAAACUGCAAGUCUUGAGUGUAGGAGGGGAGAAUGGAACUUCUGGUGGAGCGGUGAAAUGCGUAGAUAUCAGAAGGAACGCCGGCGGCGAAAGCGAUUCUCUGGCCUAUUACUGACACUCAGUGUGCGAAAGCUAGGGGAGCAAACGGGAUUAGAUACCCCGGUAGUCCUAGCCGUAAACGAUGGGCACUAAGUAGAGGGAAUUACCGAUGUUCUCUCUGCCGUAGCUAACGCAUUAAGUGCCCCGCCUGGGGAGUACGGCCGCAAGGCUAAAACUCAAAAGAAUUGACGGGGGCUCGCACAAGCGGUGGAGCAUGUGGCUUAAUUCGAUGCAACGCGAAAAACCUUACCGGGGCUUGACAUGGUAGAAGUAGGAACCCGAAAGGGUAACGAACGGUAUCCAGUCCGUAGCUAUUACAGGUGUUGCAUGGCUGUCGUCAGCUCGUGUCGUGAGACGUUGGGUUAAGUCCCCUAACGAGCGAAACCCUUAUUUUUAGUUACCAGCGGGUUGUGCCGGGUACUCUAGAAAGACUGCCGUCGUCAAGACGGAGGAAGGUGGGGAUGACGUCAAGUCAUCAUGGCCCUUAUGCCCCGGGCUGCACACGUGCUACAAUGGUCGGUACAAACGGAUGCGAAGCCGAGAGGUGAAGCGAAUCC